UGUUGAUGACUUGCUCCUUGCUGUAAC
rnacentral:piRNA from 1 species